UCUCAGUUCGGAUUGUAGGCUGAAACUCGCCUACAUGAAGCUGGAGUUACUAGUAAUCGCAGAUCAGAAUGCUGCGGUGAAUGCGUUCCCGGGUCUUGUACACACCGCCCGUCACACCACGGGAGUUGGAGACGCCCGAAGCCGAUUAUCUAACCUUUUGGAAGAAGGCGUCGAAGGUGGAAUCAAUAACUGGGGUGAAGUCGUAACAAGGUAGCCGUAUCGGAAGGUGCGGCUGGAUCACCUCCUUUCUAAGGA
rnacentral:rRNA from 1 species